AACGAACGCUGGCGGCAUGCCUAACACAUGCAAGUCGAACGAGACCUUCGGGUCUAGUGGCGCACGGGUGCGUAACGCGUGGGAACCUGCCCUUAGGUUCGGAAUAACUCCCCGAAAGGGGUGCUAAUACCGGAUAAUGUCUUCGGACCAAAGAUUUAUCGCCUUUGGAUGGGCCCGCGUUGGAUUAGCUAGUUGGUAGGGUAAAAGCCUACCAAGGCGACGAUCCAUAGCUGGUCUGAGAGGAUGAUCAGCCACACUGGGACUGGGACACGGCCCAGACUCCUCCGGGGGGCAGCAGUGGGGAAUAUUGGACAUUGGGCGAAAGCCUGAUCCAGCAAGGCCGCGUGGGUGAUGAAGGCCUUAGGGUUGUAAAGCUCUUUACCCGGGAUGAUAAUGACAGUACCGGGAGAAUAAGCUCCGGCUAACUCCGUG
rnacentral:rRNA from 1 species